AGAGUUUGAUCCUGGCUCAGAACGAACGCUGGCGGCGUGGAUAAGACAUGCAAGUCGAGCGCUGAUUGUCGGGUAGCAAUAUUCGGCAGUCGGAGCGGCGCAAGGGUGCGUAACACGUGGGUAAUCUGCCAUGAAGUUUGGAAUAACUUGCUGAAAGGCGAGCUAAUACCGGAUGUGACCGUUGGGAGGCCUCUCCCGAUAGUUAAAGCUGGGGACCGUAAGGCCUGGCGCUUCUUGAUGAACCCGCGGCCUAUCAGCUAGUUGGUGAGGUAACGGCCCACCAAGGCUAAGACGGGUAGCUGGUCUGAGAGGACGACCAGCCACACUGGAACUGAGACACGGUCCAGACACCUACGGGUGGCAGCAGUCGAGAAUUUUUCACAAUGGGCGCAAGCCUGAUGGAGCGACGCCGCGUGGGGGAUGAAUGGCUUCGGCCCGUAAACCCCUGUCAUUUGCGAUCAAACCUCGGUAUUUAAAAGAUGCCGAGCUGAUAGUAGCGAAAGAGGAAGGGACGGCUAACUCUGUGCCAGCAGCCGCGGUAAUACAGAGGUCCCGAGCGUUGUUCGGAUUCACUGGGCGUAAAGGGUGCGUAGGUGGUGAGGUAAGUCGGAUGUGAAAUCUCGGAGCUUAACUCCGAAACUGCAUUGGAAACUACCUCGCUAGAGGGUUGGAGGGGGGACUGGAAUGCUUGGUGUAGCAGUGAAAUGCGUAGAUAUCAAGCGGAACACCAGUGGCGAAGGCGAGUCCCUGGACAACUCCUGACACUGAGGCACGAAAGCUAGGGGAGCAAACAGGAUUAGAUACCCCCGUAGUCC
rnacentral:rRNA from 1 species